rnacentral:rRNA from 1 species
GGGACAACCACUGGAAACGGUGGCUAAUACCGGAUACGACCUGUCACCGCAUGGUGUGUAGGUGGAAAGUUUUUCGGCUGGGGAUGGGCUCGCGGCCUAUCAGCUUGUUGGUGGGGUGAUGGCCUACCAAGGCGACGACGGGUAGCCGGCCUGAGAGGGCGACCAGCCACACUGGGACUGAGACACGGCCCUGACUCCUACGGGAGGCAGCAGUGGGGAAUAUUGCACAAUGGGCGAAAGCCUGAUGCAGCGGCGCCGCGUGAGGGAUGACGGCCUUCGGGUUGUAAACCUCUUUCAGCUCCGAAGAAGCGAAAGUGACGGUAGGAGCAGAAGAAGCACCGGCUAACUACGUGCCAGCAGCCGCGGUAAUACGUAGGGUGCAAGCGUUGUCCGGAAUUAUUGGGCGUAAAGAGCUCGUAGGCGGUGUGUCGCGUCUGCUGUGAAAACUCAGGGCUCAACUCUGAGCUUGCAGUGGGUACGGGCACACUUGAGUGCUGUAGGGGAGACUGGAAUUCCUGGUGUAGCGGUGAAAUGCGCAGAUAUCAGGAGGAACACCGGUGGCGAAGGCGGGUCUCUGGGCAGUUACUGAAGCUGAGGAGCGAAAGCAUGGGGAGCGAACAGGAUUAGAUACCCUGGUAGUCCAUGCCGUAAACGUUGGGCCCUAGGUGUGGGGUCCAUUCCACGGAUUCCGUGCCGCAGCUAACGCAUUAAGCGCCCCGCCUGGGGAGUACGGCCGCAAGGCUAAAACUCAAAGCAAUUGACGGGGGCCAGCACAAGCGGCGGAGCAUGCGGAUUAAUUCGAUGCAACGCGAAGAACCUUACCAAGGCUUGACAUGCGCGGUGGAAUCCCAGAGAUGGGGUGUCAUUUAGUUGGUCGCGUACAGGUGGUGCAUGGUUGUCGUCAGCUCGUGUCGUGAGAUGUUGGGUUAAGUCCCGCAACGAGCGCAACCCUCGUUCCAUGUUGCCAGCACGUAGUGGUGGGGACUCAUGGGAGACUGCCGGGGUCAACUCGGAGGAAGGUGGGGAUGACGUCAAAUCAUCAUGCCCCUUAUGUCUUGGGCUUCACGCAUGCUACAAUGGCCAGUACAGAGGGCUGCGAUACCGUGAGGUGG